rnacentral:tRNA from 1 species
GCCUGGCUGGCUCAGUCCGUGGAGCAUGCGACUCUUGAUCCUGGGGUCGUGAGUUCAAGCCCCAUGUUGGGUG